rnacentral:ribozyme from 1 species
GGGUUGGAUCCGACGCCUCUAGAAGGCUACUAUAGGCUCUCCUUCUCAACUCCUACUCAAUACGUCCNN